rnacentral:tRNA from 1 species
GACGGUAUAGCUCAGUGGUAGAGUGUGUGCUUAGCAUGCAUGGAGUCCUGGGUUCCAUCCCCAGUACCUCCA